AACGUAGGAGGCGAGCGUUAUCCGGAUUCACUGGGCGUAAAGCGCGUGUAGGCGGUUCGCCAAGUCGGUUGUGAAAGCCCCUGGCUCAACUGGGGGAGGUCAGCCGAAACUGGGGGACUUGAGGGUCAGAGAGGAAGGUGGAAUUCCCGGUGUAGCGGUGGAAUGCGUAGAGAUCGGGAGGAACACUAGUGGCGAAGGCGGCCUUCUGGCUGGCUCCUGACGCUGAGGCGCGAAAGCGUGGGUAG
rnacentral:rRNA from 1 species